rnacentral:rRNA from 10 species
UCUCAAAGAUUAAGCCAUGCAUGUGUAAGUAUAAAUAAUUCUACUUUGAAACUGCGAAUGGCUCAUUAUAUCAGUUAUAGUUUAUUAGAAAAAAUGUACUACUUGGAUAACCGUAGUAAUUCUAGGGCUAAUACAUGAAUGAAUCCUCGACUUUGAAGAGGUGUGUUUAUUAGUAUGAAAACCAUAUGCUUCGGCAUGAUAGUGAGUAAUAAUAACCUUUCGUAUCGUAUGUUGAAAUAACGAUAGUUCUUUCAAGUUUCUGCCCUAUCAGCUUUCGAUGGUAGUGUAUUGGACUACCAUGGCAGUA